rnacentral:lncRNA from 1 species
AUAGAGUUGCAUGUUCUCGAUAGUGGCAAACGGCUAUCAGAAUAAUAGCAUCUACCAUCUGUAAUUAUAAUAGUUUAUAUUUAUCUAUUAUUUACUGUAUCCGGCACUUUUAUUUGAACCGACGCAAUCACCUAGUGGAGUAUUUACAUUAUUAUCCCUAGUUUACAGAUGAGGAAAUCAAGGGCCAGGGAGACUAAUAGAGAGACUAUUAACUUGCUCAUAGCUUGGGUGUGAGGUGCUGAGAUUUAACCUAAGCAUUCUAGCUCCAGAGCCUGUGUUCCUAAGCACUAUGUCAUACGAUAUGCAAAUGUGGACACAGGUUUUCCAAACUCAAAGUUACUUUGGAUAUCACAGGUCACCCCCUAGAUUUUGCAGCUGAGAAAACAGACCUAGUGAGACAAUGGGAAUUACCUAGUGACAGAGCCAGGAUUUGAAGAAAGACUCUCACUCCACAGUUCAGUGCUUUCUCUACUGUGUCAGAAUGCCUCAGGUUUCUGCAUCAUCUUGAGAAUAUGGAGUUGGAGUAUUUUUUAAAAUACCAUAUCCCUUAUUCUUUAGGGGAGGGAAUUCCUAUUUAUAUAAACAUAGAAUAUUUUCAUAUAGCUUUCCUACAAUAUAUUGAUUUUCCAAUUCUUC